CGUUACAAUCACUGGAAAUCAUAAUUCAAAUGAAAGAAAAUUAAAUACAUGACUUUUUGAUUUAAAUAAAUAAGGUUGUAUCAGGCAGUAAAGAAAUUUUGACGUGACGUCUAAUAAAUCGAUGAACGCUGGCUGCAUGUACAAAAUUGUCCCACUACAUGCGUGGCAUCUCUCUGGUAUGUUGCGGACGGUACAGAGAACUCGGCCGGCACGUGGCGGCGUUCUGGUUCCAGGUUAUUGUUGUGCACCGCGCCACGGGAGUAUAUUCGCAAGGAAAUGGCGUUCUUACAAUGGCAUCCCUUGUUCGUGUCAAGUUAGACAUGCAAAACGAAAACAUGAAGAAGGCAUGCUUUGAAUACCCAGUAACUGAAAAAAUGCUGGAGUUCAAAGAAAACAUGUACAAGAAGGAUCACAAGAAAUCUGAAAUUGCUGGACUCUUGGCUGCUGAAGACGAAGAAGAUAAACUGUUAUCUAAUGUCAAAGUCUUUAGGACAAAAAAAUGUGAAACAUUUAAGGUAGAAUUGAAUAGAAAAUUUUGUGUGUGGACUAGGUGUAGCCUACUUCAUUAAAAACUAUUUUUACAUAUUAUUGAUACCAUAUUGAAUUAUUAUUAUUACUUGUCCUAUAACAAAAAAAAAAACAAUUUUAAUGUAGGGAUUUUUUAUGGCUUGGAGGGAUUUUCUAAGUAGUUGGCAGGGAUUUUUGCAUUGGGAAACCUGGCAACACUGCUUAUGUUCAUACAUUCGUGAGUUUACGUUUUUCCCUCGUGCAUUUUAGAUUGUAUCCUGCUAUAAUUACUCGGACUUUUACACGCCUAGGCUUAAAUUAUUACAUGUUUAGAAAUAAAAGCAACUUUUCAUGUUAUAAAAUAUGUAUAUUUUGCGAUUUAAAAUGUUCAUUGCCGACUAUAAACGUUACGUUUUUCACGAUGUUUUUAGUCCUACUAGCUAAUCUUAUUUACUCUUAAAGUAAAGGCUAGCCUACAAAUGAUUUAGCACAGAAAAUAGCACACGCACUCGCACAGGGCAUACGCACAGCACAGAACUUCAACCUACAAUUAAAUAACACACGCACAGAGAAAUCGGAAGUUUAUACAAAAUAUUUACGAAAAUUAAAGGAAGUGCAGCGAAGGAAAAAUUGGUAGCCUUGUCAGAGGGAAACAGCUGAUAUAUCUGUUUAUUUGUGUUGCGCGCGCUAUGUGAGAUGAAUGGAAAGGAAAAUAAUUUGGUUUAAGGUAGCAAAAAUCACAAUUUCCCUCUAGGUCUCUGAACAAUCGUACACUUCUAACUUUAAACAGAGUAUCCUUCGAAAGGGUACGAUGAUACAGACCUUUACAUUGUAUGGCAUGUUUACGUAUUUAACACUUUUUUCUGCACAGAAACUUUCUAUCUGUAGUUCUAAAAUGCUAUAAAAAUCGUAACUAUAUAACUAAAAAAUGUAAACAACACUAAAUGAAAAUAUGUCGUUUUGGCGCCAUUAAGGUAAACUGGCAUAAAAAUAAUAUGAAACAAUGAAUUAAAAUAUAUGACGCCUUGCAAGGUAAUUCUAUUCAUUUACAGAAUACUUACAGUUGAUAUGAACUCCUUGUUCGCACAAGGCAUCAACGAUCGCCUGCCACGCAUUUUUCUUGGCUUCUUCAUUUUUGAACCCUGCCAGGGUUUUAUCAAAUAAAAUUGGGGUAAAUAUGUAGAGUAGCUGUAUUUGCGAGAAAAAAAAAUGUUAAAAAUCAGAAAAUACUUUCAUUAUAUGCUCUUUCACUUCCUAUUUUCAUUAAACCUGGCGGAGAUAAGAAAUUCCUAAUACUUUAGGAGAUAUCGAAUUUUUUAAUUUUCAUAGUUGGGCGAUAUUUGUUAAAAAAAAUUUAAAAAUUCCGAAAAUACUUUUAUUCUAUGCUCUUUAACUUCAUCUUUUCAUUAAACCCGGCGGAGAUAAGAAAUUCCAAAUACUUUAGGAGAUAUCGAAUUUUUUAAUUUUCAUCACAAUACCUGUGUAUUCAUGCGACAUUCAUAUUUGUUUCUUGUUUACGAGUAUGAAAUUUUUUUUCUUUUCUUGCGGCGUUCACCAUUGUUUACCCGCCUCUAACUUAGGUGUGUUUUUAACGUUUCAAAUUAUUUGUUAUUUGGAUAUUGUUGCGCAAGUAAUAAAUUUAAAAAAAAUUACGUGAGUUCCUACUGUUCAUCCUUUGUUCCGGUUUGUUUUGAUUUGAUUUGAUUUUUUAUUUCAUUCAAUAGACCAUACAAUGCAAGGUCACCUUGCAUACAAUGGUAUAGAAUAUGUCAAAAAAAAUUACAAAUAAACAUAAAUACAAACACGUAAACAGGUACAAGAACAGUAUUAAAAGCAUUACAAAA